AUGAGCAUCCAGGCCCCACCCAGACUCCUGGAGCUGGCAGGGCAGAGUCUGCUGAGAGACCAGGCCUUGGCCAUCUCUGCCGUGGAGGAGCUGCCCAGGGUGUUCUAUCUCCCACUCUUCCUGGAGGCCUUCAGCAGGAGACACUUCCAGACUCUGACGGUGAUGGUGCAGGCCUGGCCCUUCACCCGCCUCCCUCUGGGAUCGCUGAUGAAGACGCUUCAUCUGGAGACCUUAAAAGCAUUGCUGGAAGGGCUUCAUAUGCUGCUUGCACAGAAGAUUCACCCCAGGAGGUGGAAACUUCCAGUGCUGGAUUUGCGGGAUGUUGAUGAGAAUUUCUGGGCCAUAUGGUCUGAAUCCAGGGCCCUGUCCUACUCCCCAGAGGCCAUGAGUAAGAGGCAGACAGCAGAGGACUGUCCAAGGACGGGAGAGCACCAGCCCUUGAAGGUGUUCAUAGACGUCUGCCUCAAGGAAAUACCCCAGGAUGAAUGCCUGAGAUCCCUCUUUCGGUGGGUUUACCAAAGGAGAGGUUGAGUACACCUGUGCUGUAGUAAGUUGGUGAAUUAUCUAACAUCGAUUGAAUAUCUCAGAAGAUCAUUGAAAAUAAUCCACCUGAAUAGUAUUCAGGAGCUGGAAAUUUGCUACAUGUCCUGGCCACAUCUGAUAAGAAAGCCUUUUUGUUACCUGAAGGAGAUGAAGAAUCUUCGCAAACUCAUUUUUCUGCAGGUGCCAUCCUUACAUGUCAAUUACCAUGAGGAAUGCUCAGUUGCCAAAAUCAGCUCUCUGUUCCUCAGGCUGAAACACCUCCGGUUGCUUAAAAUGAAUAUGGUCACCACCUAGGACAGCUGAUCAGGUGCCUCUAGAACCCCUUGGAGAACUUGGAAUUAACUUGUGGCUACCUAUUGGAAGAGGACUUGAGGUGUCUCUACCAGUACCCAAGCCUCGCUUACCCAAAGCAUCUGAAUCUCAGCUACAUGCUGCAGUUCUGUAUCACUACAUGCUGCAGUUCCGUAUCAGUCUUGAACCCCUCGGAGCUCUGCUGGAGAAAGUUUCUGCCACUCUCGAGACCCUCAUCUUGGAGGGCUGUCAGAUCCACUACUCCCAACUCAGCGCCAUCCUGCCUUGCCUGAGCCGCUGCUCCCAGCUCACCACCUUCUACUUUGGCAGAAAUUGCAUGUCUAUGGACGCCCUGAAGGACCUGCUGCGCCACACCAGUGCGCUGAGCAAGUUAAGCCUCGAGACGUAUCCUGCCCCUGAGGAGAGUUUGAAUUCCUUGGUUCGUGUCAGUUGGGAGAUCUUCACCCCACUUGGGGCUGAGCUGAUGUGUACACUGAGGGAAGUCAGGCAGCCCAAGAGGAUCUUCAUUGGCCCCACCCCCUGCCCUUCCUGUGACUCAUCACCACCUGAGGAACUGGAGCUCCAUCUUUGCUGUUAGGGAAGGCGUGCCUAGUGGGGUAGAUAAAUCCAAAGUUCUCUUCCAGGCACUUGGACACUAAAAUCUAGUAUG